UGAAUGACAAAUGCUUCAAUGACAAAGAGAACCCUGGCCAUUUCUAGCAGCAUGGAAAGAAAAAAUCUGGGAAGGGAAAAUCCUGGAUUUGCAUCUGCGCUCUACUUCUUUGGUGAGGCUGUUUUUCUUUUCAACAAGGAAGUACUUGUACAUUGACUAAAUAACACAAGUUUCGACGUGUUCAUCUCUAAAACAUAAUUAACAAUAACUGAACUGCGUGUGGUGACUCAGGUCGGUAAUCCCAGUGCUUUAGGAAGCCAAGGCAGGCACUUGAACUCAGAAGUCCAAGAUCAGCCUGGGCAACAUAGUGGGACACCAUCUCUACUAAAAACUUUACAAGUUAGCUGGGCGUGGUGGCAGGUGCCUGUAGUCCCAGCUACUUGGGAGGCUGAGGCAGGAGGAUCGCUUGAGCACAAGAGGUCAAGGCUGCAGUGAGCUAUGAUCACGCCACUGCAUUCCAGCCUGGGAGACAGAGAUCCUGUCUCGAAUAAAAAAAUUUUUUUUCCCUACAUGAUCAAAGAGAAUAUGAUCUUCUCCCUCCUUUUAUUGGGGAUCCCAUACUCUCGGAUAUGACUCGUAGUCAUUCUUAUUUAGGUGUUUAAAAGUUGGGGACCAUUAUUAGGACUACAGCUGCUUUCAGCUUAAUGUAAAAACUGUCCUAAGAUCUGCGGGCACAGGCCAUUCAGUCAAACCUUUUCAUUUUCAAAGACAGCACCAAGGAUCAAAGAAGUUCAGUGGCUUGAUCUGGUUACCCAGAUGACAGGUUACAGAACCGGUGAUUGGACCCACGGGUUCUGACACUCAUUUUGUACUCCUUCCCACAUUGGCUCAUCAACCUAACUGGGUUUUGUUUGCUUUUAAUUUUGUGGUUAGACCUAAUUGUUUUAUUCUCUAAAGAGGAAAACAAAUGAAUACAGUGUUGGCCUCUGCGAGCAUUAAGGGCACCACGGGUAUGUGAUCAGCCAGGGACUCCCGUCCUGGCUGCUGCUCUGCUCUUCGGACUCAAGACCAUGGCCCCUACAAGCUCUUGCCUUCCCCACCUUCCAGCUCUCCCAGCCCUGCCUCUCCUUUCCGAUAGAACAGAUUGCUCAAGCAGAAAGAGGGGAAAGGAGGGGGGAGCCCCGUUACUAGGGCAAGGUUGGCAUAUAGUUCACAGAAUCUUCCGGACGUUAAAUAUAGAGUCCUGACUAACCUUGAUGUUUUAGGGCCGGCUGGCGAGAGGAGGGAGAGACUCGGGUGGCGCAGUUUGUUGGGGAGUGUCCCUAAGAAUGACACAGCAGUUCUCGCCUUGAAGGUCAGAAAACUCUAGAAACUUCGGGCAGAGCCAGCGACGGGGGAAAAAGCCUCAGCCAAAGGGGAG
rnacentral:lncRNA from 10 species